rnacentral:rRNA from 1 species
AUUGAACGCUGGCGGCAGGCUUAACACAUGCAAGUCGAGCGGAGAUGAGGUGCUUGCACCUUAUCUUAGCGGCGGACGGGUGAGUAAUGCUUAGGAAUCUGCCUAUUAGUGGGGGACAACAUUCCGAAAGGAAUGCUAAUACCGCAUACGUCCUACGGGAGAAAGCAGGGGAUCUUCGGACCUUGCGCUAGUAGAUGAGCCUAAGUCGGAUUAGCUAGUUGGUGGGGUAAAGGCCUACCAAGGCGACGAUCUGUAGCGGGUCUGAGAGGAUGAUCCGCCACACUGGGACUGAGACACGGCCCAGACUCCUACGGGAGGCAGCAGUGGGGAAUAUUGGACAAUGGGGGGAACCCUGAUCCAGCCAUGCCGCGUGUGUGAAGAAGGCCUUAUGGUUGUAAAGCACUUUAAGCGAGGAGGAGGCUACUGAGACUAAUACUCUUGGAUAGUGGACGUUACUCGCAGAAUAAGCACCGGCUAACUCUGUGCCAGCCGCCGCGGUAA